rnacentral:rRNA from 1 species
UACGUAGGGGGCGAGCGUUGUCCGGAGUACUGGCGUAAAGCGCACGCAGGCGGUUUCGUACGUCUGGAGUGACAGUUCCCGGCUCAACUGGGAAAGGUCUUCGGAAACGGCGAGACUUGAGGGCUUCAGAGGGACACGGAAUUCCGGGUGGAGUGGUGAAAUGCGUAGAGAUCCGGAGGAACACCAAUGGCGAAGGCAGUGUCCUGGGAAGCAUCUGACGCUCAGGUGCGAAAGCUAGGGGAGCGAACAGG